rnacentral:piRNA from 1 species
UGGGAAAAUUCUGGUGGGUAUUUGGACC